rnacentral:misc_RNA from 1 species
UUUCCGUAGGUGAACCUGCGGAAGGAUCAUUAACAAAUCUAUUUCCCCUUCACAAUCAUCAUAAACCUGUUGCAAUGGCCGCGAAUGCGCAUGCAUGGUGCGCGCACCCUCGAGACAGUCGUCUUGCUGCGUUGUGUGCGCGCCUGCUGAGCUGCAGCGGAGGAAGGCCGCCGCCGCCGCCGCCGUGUCGCUGCUGGGUAACUGCUGCUGCAAGGUGGCAAGUGCCAAGCGUGCGCACGCGGAGGAGGAGAGGCCUUUACACACAUAAACCGACUAAGUGUAGUCUAACUGUUUGGUAAUGCGCGGCAAUAAAUACAACUAUUAACAGUGGAUCUCUUGGCUCCC